GAGGCCGGCAUGCUUUCCAUGCAGUCGAACGAACUUCGGUAGUUUACCGCCGAGGGGAGUGGCAAACGGGUGAGUAAUACGUGGAAAAUCUGCCUUUAAGAAGGGGACAACUCCGGGAAACCGGAGCUAAUACCGCAUGAGACCACGCCCCCGCAUGGGGGUGGGGCUAAAGUUCCGUAAGGGACGCUUAAAGUGGAUUCCACGGCCUAUCAGCUUGUUGGUGAGGUAACGGCUCACCAAGGCUACGACGGGUAACCGGUCUGAAAGGAUGAUCGGUCACAAUGGCACUGGGACACGGGCCAUACUCCUACGGGAGGCAGCAGUGGGGAAUUUUGCGCAAUGGGGGCAACCCUGACGCAGCAAUGCCGCGUGGAGGACGAAGGUCUUAGGAUUGUAAACUCCUUUUGCAAGGGAAAAAUUGGCCGAUGAAGAAUCGGACGUGAUGGUACUUUGCGAAUAAGCCACGGCUAACUUCGUGCCAGCAGCCGCGGUAAGACGAAGGUGGCGAGCGUUACUCGGAUUUACUAGGCGUAAAGCGUGGGCAGGUGGUUUGGUAAGUCUGUUGUGAAAUCUCCCGGCUUAACCGGGAGGGGCCAAUGGAUACUGCCGGACUUGAAUGUGGGAGGGGUGACUGGAAUUCCUGGUGUAGCGGUGAAAUGCGUAGAUAUCAGGAGGAACACCAAAGGCGAAAGCAGGUCACUGGACCACUAUUGACACUCAUCCACGAAAGCUAGGGGAUCAAACAGGAUUAGAUACCCUGGUAGUCCUAGCUGUAAACGAUGCUCACUAGGUGUGGGAGGUAUCGACCCCUUCCGCGCCGACGCUAACGCAUUAAGUGAGCCGCCUGGGGAGUACGGCCGCAAGGUUGAAACUCAAAGGAAUUGACGG
rnacentral:rRNA from 1 species